AACGUAGGAGACAAACGUUAUCCGGAGUUACUGGGCGUAAAGGGCGCGUAGGCGGCCCGCUAAGUCGAACGUGAAAUCCCCGAGCUCAACUCGGGAACUGCGUCCGAUACUGGCGGGCUUGAAUCCGGGAGAGGGAUGCGGAAUUCCAGGUGUAGCGGUGAAAUGCGUAGAUAUCUGGAGGAACACCGGUGGCGAAGGCGGCAUCCUGGACCGGCAUUGACGCUGAGGCGCGAAAGCUAGGGGAGCAAACGGG
rnacentral:rRNA from 1 species